UAAAUGUCUAAUCAUAUAUAUGGAAGCUUAUGGUCUUUAUCUCUCCUCACAUAGUCAAAAACAAUUGAUUGCACUUAUAGAGCAUUCUUUCAUCAAUUAUUUUUUUACUUCAGUUAGAGGAAAAAGAUGUAGGACUUUUAUUGAUUUUUUGCAGCCAGUUGUUUUGCAGGAAAUUGCAUCCAAGGUUAUUUUACUGUACUGCAUGUGGUUAUUGGGUGUAAUGUGUUAGCAAAGCAUCUGCAGUCCACUUAAACUAGAUAGUAUUAUAGCUGUUAAUGUAUGAGAGUGGAUGAUUUUCAUAAACGUGAGG
rnacentral:lncRNA from 1 species